CAUUGCAUCUCUGGUUACCUCGAAGCAGUCCUCUGAAAAGCCAAACAGGUGUCAUUUAAAAGAAAGCCAUGCACACAAACACGGGGAGGCAGAACACUCCAUACCACAACCAGCUGAGCUGGAAUUGUGAAAGGAGAUCAAGGAAACCAGGUGCUCUUUUGGUGAAUCCCAGAGUAGAAGCUGGAGAACCCAGUCGCUGACUUCACACUGACUCUGUGGGGCUCUGAAGUUAGGCAGUAGGUUGCUGAAGCACAUCCAAAGACAAGACAGUUUCUAAACAUAGCCACACAGAGAUGCAAAUUUGCUAGGCCAGAAACCGCUGGCUUAAGCCAGGUGAAAACUCUUAAUAGAGCAAACUGAAACUUAAACAGAAUCACAAGAAUGCAGGUGGCUUUACAAAAUGUCUGCUGCUGGCUGACCAACCUGGGUAAUAGGAUUUAAUAAGGCAGAGACAUUUUUGCCUGCCUUCCUUUAAAGUUACAGCUGUUAUUAAUGGUCACUCUGUGAAACUAAUCUUUACCAUCUAAGUUUCUUUCAGAAUUUGGCAGCCAGCGGUAGUCAGCCCCUUCUGGAAGGUUCCAUUCCAGCCUCUCCUCUGCAGUGGCACCUUUAGUGAUCUGGAGACAGAAAACAAGAGAUCAGGGUGAGAGCUUGCAGAGAGGGGGAAGAGAUAUAAUAAUGCGAGCUGCCAGCAAACCAAAAUAUGUUCCAAAGACAGAAAAAAAAAUUCCAUGACAGACAUCAGGAACAGUUUCAUUGCCUUUUGGAGAGAUAACUGAAGCAGCAACAGAAGCAUAGAAUUUCAUAAGGCAGCGAGAUGUCCAGGUCUGCAAGAGAGAGGCUUGACAAUAGGCCUUUGUUUUUACCAUGUCA